CAGAGUCACGGGAGUCUUUUCCUCGCCCAUGUUGAACGGAGGCUGCGACCAGAUUGACUGCAGCUCUGGAGCUCCGGCGCACGAUGACGCCUUCAGGGUGCUGCUCGGAAAUUCGCAAUGGAUGGCUGGAGUCACUUUGGUCUUGAUAAAACCCAGCGGACCGACACAAGCAGACGCCAUGGCAACCCAAAUCAUCACUGGAAACUGGGACCUUGAAUGCUUUCUGAAAAGCAAAACUUACCUUCGUCUGGACCGCUGAGCAGAGAAACCCGAUCUGUUCCCUCUUUAGCUUUAGCCCAGGAACUGUGAACGUCAUGCACCGGGUCCCCACCCUCCAUCGAGUGCAGGAACAGAGAACCUCACCAGAACCUCCCUGCGGAAUGACAGUAAAUCACUUUGACUCGCCACCAGGGGGCAGCAGAUGCUUCCGUUAAGCCAGCGGGUCUCCAUCACUGCUAACUGUGUCAGGUGUGUUUCUGUGGCGUGUUUGACUCCACUUCGAGUUGCAGCAUUUAGAAUUUCAUACUUUACCUCAGUAGUUUUAUGUUUUAGUUUAAUUUUACUGAUACUGAUAGUCAAUACAUCCACCGCAACAAAACCAACAUUUUACAGUAAUUUAGCUUUGUCGCAAUUUUCUCAA